rnacentral:rRNA from 1 species
GUGCCAGCAGCCGCGGUAAUACGUAGGUGGCAAGCGUUAUCCGGAAUUAUUGGGCGUAAAGCGCGCGUAGGCGGUAUUUUAAGUCUGAUGUGAAAGCCCACGGCUCAACCGUGGAGGGUCAUUGGAAACUGGAAAACUUGAGUGCAGAAGAGGAAAGUGGAAUUCCAUGUGUAGCGGUGAAAUGCGCAGAGAUAUGGAGGAACACCAGUGGCGAAGGCGACUUUCUGGUCUGUAACUGACGCUGAUGUGCGAAAGCGUGGGGAUCAAACAGGAUUAGAUA